AGAAUCAACGCUGGCGGCGUGCCUAACACAUGCAAGUCGAACGAGAAAGUGGAGCAAUCCAUGAGUAAAGUGGCGACCGGGUGAGUAACACGUGACUAACCUACCUUCGAGUGGGGGAUAACCUCGGGAAAACCGAGGCUAAUACCGCAUAACAUCGCAAGAUCAAAGCAGCAAUGCGCUGGAAGAGGGGGUCGCGGCUGAUUAGCUAGUUGGCGGGUAACGCCCACCAAGGCGAAGAUCGGUAGCCGGCCUGAGAGGGCGCACGGCCACACUGGAACUGAAACACGGUCCAGACUCCUACGGGAGGCAGCAGUGGGAAUUUUGCGCAAUGGGGGAAACCCUGACGCAGCAACGCCGCGUGGAGGAUGAAGCCCCUUGGGCGUAAAACUCCUUUCGACCAAGACGAUAAUGACGUACUGGUGGAAGAAGCACCGGCUAACUCUGCGCCAGCAGCCGC
rnacentral:rRNA from 1 species